AUUUCCGAUGAUGAUCAGAUCAAAACUUUCGUUCUUCCGAGGUAUAUGUUGUGCAAUGCGGAAGAUUCACGGAGACCUGAACUGAGGAUAC